rnacentral:miRNA from 1 species
UUGUCUUAAUUCCUUGAUAGC